AACGAACGCUGGCGGCAGGCUUAACACAUGCAAGUCGAGCGCCCCGCAAGGGGAGCGGCAGACGGGUGAGUAACGCGUGGGAACGUACCCUUUGCUACGGAAUAGCUCCGGGAAACUGGAAUUAAUACCGUAUGUGCCCUACGGGGGAAAGAUUUAUCGGCAAAGGAUCGGCCCGCGUUGGAUUAGCUAGUUGGUGGGGUAAUGGCCUACCAAGGCGACGAUCCAUAGCUGGUCUGAGAGGAUGAUCAGCCACAUUGGGACUGAGACACGGCCCAAACUCCUACGGGAGGCAGCAGUGGGGAAUAUUGGACAAUGGGCGCAAGCCUGAUCCAGCCAUGCCGCGUGAGUGAUGAAGGCCUUAGGGUUGUAAAGCUCUUUCACCGGAGAUGAUAAUGACGGUAUCCGGAGAAGAAGCCCCGGCCAACUUCGUGCCAGCCGCCGCCGUAAAAC
rnacentral:rRNA from 1 species